rnacentral:rRNA from 1 species
AGUGAACGCUGGCGGUAGGCCUAACACAUGCAAGUCGAACGGCAGCACAGUAAGAGCUUGCUCUUACGGGUGGCGAGUGGCGGACGGGUGAGGAAUACAUCGGAAUCUACUUUUUCGUGGGGGAUAACGUAGGGAAACUUACGCUAAUACCGCAUACGACCUACGGGUGAAAGCAGGGGAUCUUCGGACCUUGCGCGAUUGAAUGAGCCGAUGUCGGAUUAGCUAGUUGGCGGGGUAAAGGCCCACCAAGGCGACGAUCCGUAGCUGGUCUGAGAGGAUGAUCAGCCACGCUGGAACUGAGACACGGUCCAGACUCCUACGGGAGGCAGCAGUGGGGAAUAUUGGACAAUGGGCGCAAGCCUGAUCCAGCCAUACCGCGUGGGUGAAGAGGGCCUUCGGGUUGUAAAGCCCUUUUGUUGGGAAAGAAAAGCAGCAGGUUAAUACCCCGCUGUUCUGACGGUACCCAAAGAAUAAGCACCGGCUAACUUCGUG